GUGUACAUACGUUGUGGUUCUAUAUUUAUGAAUUGAAGAGGGAAAUAACUUAUUUUUGGGCAUUGACAUUGAGAAGAAAUCUCAAGCUCCAUAGCUAGAUCUAGUUGACUUUGCAAUUUUAUAUUUAUGAGUGAGGAAAAUAACUUUGAACCUUGAAUCUAAUAACGAUUUUUUUUAGAGAAGAUUAGAAAUUCUAAAGGUUCAAGAUUUGAAAUGGAAGUUACCAUUGAAGAUCGUUCCCAAGCUUCAAGCUUUUUAAAUGGCAGAAGAAAGGAAGAAGAUGGAAGAUUUGUGGGAGAAAAAAAGCUUAGAAAUGCAAAUUGUAAUUGAAAGCCUUAAUUUUAGGUUGAUUUGGACUUACACGUGGAUUCCAAAAUGCAGAUAAUGUGUUUUAGAUACAUCCUUACGCGCCUAAGGGAGGUGAGAACACCUCCUAUGACAGGUCAGCGUUUAAGUGUGUAGAAAAUAGAGAAAUAUGAAGUUCAGGGGGGUAAUAGGACACCCGUGAAGUUGGAGUGUGUAGUUGGGAUUUCGGGUAUAGGUUGGGGAGGUUUUAGACCAUUUUCUCAAAUUGGAGACAGAGGUGCACUAUAUAUUAAAUUUUUAAUUCCUUGUGACGGCAGAUCAAAUAUAUAUCCAAUAAAAUUAAAUAAUUUGAUAUUAGCUACAGCUAUAAUAAUCAGUUGUCCAUAUGGUAUGAUAUGAUAUUUAUUUCAGAUGCAGUAGACCCCACUUUUUUUUAACUUAUUCUUUUAAUUAGGUUAAAAUUCUCAAUUUCAAACAUAACCAACAACAUGUCUACUCUUCAAUUGAAUAUCAACCUUUCUUCUUCUUCUACAUUAUUCUUAGCAAGUAAUGCAAGUCACAGUGACCCAAGAAUUGUUCUUUUCAAGAUUACUUGCUCCGCCACCCAAAUAAUUUUAACAAUGUCAUUUAUCAUGUGAUGUAAUCUUUUAAAAAAUAAAUAAAAUCGAUCUUUAAAUGAAAAAAUGGAUCUUGCAAAUUGGUAUUUUCUAAAUUAGUAAAUCUUCAAGUUCAGAUGUAAUGGUGAAGGAGUUGGAGGAAGGUGAAAAGAAUGGGUGUACAUACGUUGUGGUUCUAUAUUUAUGAAUUGAAGAGGGAAAUAACUUAUUUUUGGGCAUUGACAUUGAGAAGAAAUCUCAAGCUCCAUAGCUAGAUCUAGUUGACUUUGCAAUUUUAUAUUUAUGAGUGAGGAAAAUAACUUUGAACCUUGAAUCUAAUAACGAUUUUUUUUAGAGAAGAUUAGAAAUUCUAAAGGUUCAAGAUUUGAAAUGGAAGUUACCAUUGAAGAUCGUUCCCAAGCUUCAAGCUUUUUAAAUGGCAGAAGAAAGGAAGAAGAUGGAAGAUUUGUGGGAGAAAAAAAGCUUAGAAAUGCAAAUUGUAAUUGAAAGCCUUAAUUUUAGGUUGAUUUGGACUUACACGUGGAUUCCAAAAUGCAGAUAAUGUGUUUUAGAUACAUCCUUACGCGCCUAAGGGAGGUGAGAACACCU
rnacentral:lncRNA from 1 species